UGGCUUACCUUCACUCCGUGGGUAGCGGCGUGAAGUUCAUUCACGGGAACAUCAAGUCAAGCAACAUCCUUCUCUCACAGGAACUCGGCGCCUGCGUCACCGAGUUCGGCCUUGCCCAGCUCAUGUCCACGCCCCACGUCCACCCACUGCACACGGAAUGGCUUACCUUCACUCCGUGUGUCUCAAUCGAGGGGGAGUCACCAACGAACGACCCACAAUUGGAGUUUGAGCAGGACUAGAGAGGAGACGUCAGUUCUUCCUCCUCCGCUCAGUGCGACCAUUGUCCCUGUCCCCCAA